rnacentral:rRNA from 1 species
UUAGUGUGCUCCUGACGGAUGUCUAGGGUUCGUGGCGUGGAAGGACGCAUAUGACGGCGAUACUGGCGCAGCAUCUAAUGUGUGCCGUUUCCGAAGUUGGCUACUCCCUCAACUUAAGCAUAUCAAUAGGGGACGGAGAAGAAACAAACAUGGAUUCCCCUAGUAGUGGCGAAUGAAGCGGGAGCUGUCCGGAUGGCAAGCCGCUAGGCGUUGUAGACAGAUGUAACGAAGUGGCAUGGAAGUGCACACGACACAGGGUGAGAGUCCCGUUGUACCUAUAGUAGGAGAGAGUAACGCUGCUUGGUACUGCAGCGCGAAGGGGUGGUUGGACCAUCCAAGACUAAAUAUACGCGAACACCGAUAGUGGACAAGUACUGCGAAGGAAAGACGACAGCUCAUGAGGGCUGAUGAUUGAAAUCAGGAGCACGGAAGGCAAUUGAUUGCACCCGUCUUGAAACACGGACCAAGGAGUGCAGUGGGCCAGCAAGUAUUCUGUACACACUACACGAUGCGCAGCGAAGGCUAUGCAGCUGGCGCACUGCGACCCGAUAGAUAGUGAACUAUGCCUGGUCUAGAUGAAGUCCGGGGAAACUCUGAUGGAAGUCUUAAGCCGUUCUGACGUUCAAUUCGAUGGCAUGAACUGGGUAUAGGGGCGAAAGACCAAUCGAACUAUCUGGUAGCUGGUUCCUUCCGAAAUGUCUCUCAGGACAGCGCCUUUGUAUAUGUAACCUUGUGUAGAGUAUGAACUAUUGUUCUGAAACUGCGAAGCAGGGAGUGGCGUUGCUUUGUUGAACGCCUGGAUAAUAGACUGGGUAGUGGGCUGAUGCUAGUAAGUAGCGUUGGCGAAGAGGGAUGAACCUGUUGGCGAGAUAAGAUCUCCAAGCAAAAGGCAGUGAAACCAGUAAAGAGGCAGAUGAAUCUAGACAGUGGGGCGGUGGCCAUAGAAGUUGGAAUCCGCUAAGAAACGUGUUACAACGUACCUACCGAAUUCAACUGUUCUGAAAAUGGACGAGGCUAUACUUUUGCAUCGAUUCUCGUCACGCAUUUUGCGUAGUAGGAAGGCAUGGAGGGUGUGCAGAAGCACGCGGGCGACUGUGUGUGGAACAGCCUCCAGAGCAGAUCUUGGUGGUAGUAGCGACAAUUUCAGAAUGAAACACCGAAGAGGAGAAGGGUUAUUUCUACGAAAUGUUAGCCGGGACGGUAAGGAAGGCUGCGGCUGCCCGAAACCCGAGCCUGUUAGUAUUCAGGCGCUUAUGAAUGGCGACAGACGCGCGGUGCACUGUGGGCUUCGGUUGUGCAGCAGCUGUCGUUUGCUGUGGUCUGUAUUUGUAGGGAGCGUUAUGCAGCGAGCUACAGUGUUGAGACACAAUAUACUGUUUGGUAUAGCACAAUGCACGGCACGCACCGUGAAGAUGCACCGUGCUUGACCCCGUACCUAGUCCGAAACAGGUCUCCAAGGCUAGCAGCCUCUGGUGUUAGAAGUAAAGUAAGUAAGGGAAUUCGGCAAAAUGGAUUUGUAACUUCGGGAGAAGGAUUGGCUCUAUUUAUAGAACUGUGUUUGGCAAGGGGAAUCUGACUGUUUAGUAAAAACAUAGCUUUAUGUAUGUGCAUAAAGUGAAUUCUGCCCAGUGCUCGAAAUGUCAAGCUGUCGAAGGGCAGUAACGCACGGGUUAACGGCGGACGUAACUAUGACGUUCUUAAGGUAGCCAAAUGCCUCGUCAUCUAAUUAGUGACGCGCAUGAAUGGAUCAACUAGAUUCCCACUGUCCCUACUUACUUCUAGUGAAACCACAGCCAAGGGAACGGGCUUGGAAAGAACAGCGGGGAAAGAAGACCCUAUUGAGCUUGACUCUAGUGUGCAAGCGGUAGAUCAUGGUGGCGGUGUAGACAGGUGGGUGCGUGAAAGACCACUGCGUUUUUGUGAUGUACCUAUUGUUGCAGAUGGGGAGUUUGGCUGGGGCGGCACAUCUACUAGAAAGCAACGUAGAUGUCCUAAGGUAGACACUGGGAGGACGGAAACCUCGCUUUGCGCACAAGGGCACAAGUCUGCUUAAUACUGUAAUAUUGCGAAAGCACGGCCUAGCGAUCCCCUAGGCUGCGGUCUGUGCACCUAGGGGUGACAGAAAAGUUACCAUAGGGAUAACUGGUUUGUUGCGUAUAAGCGUCCUUAGCGUCUACGCAGUUUGAUUCUUCGAUGUCGGCUCUUCCUAUCAUUGCGAAGCAGGAUUCGCAAAGUGUUGGAUUGUUCACCCAUAAGAAGGGAACGUGAGCUGGGUUUAGACCGUCGUGAGACAGGUUAGUUUUACCCUACUGUUCGGAGCCUGCAAGCAGUGCGUACAAGUACGAGAGGAACGUAUUCACGGGACCACUGGUUACGCGCUUAUCUGACAAGGUACGGUGCUUCGCUACGUCCUCGCAGUUAACGGCUGAAAGCCUCUAAGCCGGAAACUGCCCUUGCGCAGGCUCGAGCUCCGCUCAAAGACGAUGAGCGUAAGAAUAGUGAAGCUGUACGUGUGCGAGCUGUUGCGAGACACUGAGGCUGCUAAGUUCUUCCGGGG